GUGGGGAAUUUUGGACAAUGGGCGCAAGCCUGAUCCAGCAAUGCCGCGUGCAGGAAGAAGGCCUUCGGGUUGUAAACUGCUUUUGUACGGAACGAAACGGUCCUGGUUAAUACCUGGGGCUCAUGACGGUACCGUAAGAAUAAGCACCGGCUAACUACGUGCCAGCAGCCGCGGUAAUACGUAGGGUGCAAGCGUUAAUCGGAAUUACUGGGCGUAAAGCGUGCGCAGGCGGUUUUGUAAGACAGACGUGAAAUCCCCGGGCUCAACCUGGGAAUGGCGUUUGUGACUGCAAAGCUGGAGUGCGGCAGAGGGGGAUGGAAUUCCGCGUGUAGCAGUGAAAUGCGUAGAUAUGCGGAGGAACACCGAUGGCGAAGGCAAUCCCCUGGGCCUGCACUGACGCUCAUGCACGAAAGCGUGGGGAGCAAACAGGAUUAGAUACCCUGGUAGUCC
rnacentral:rRNA from 1 species